GAUGAACGCUGGCGGCGUGCCUAAUACAUGCAAGUCGAGCGAACGGACGAGAAGCUUGCUUCUCUGAUGUUAGCGGCGGACGGGUGAGUAACACGUGGAUAACCUACCUAUAAGACUGGGAUAACUUCGGGAAACCGGAGCUAAUACCGGAUAAUAUUUUGAACCGCAUGGUUCAAAAGUGAAAGACGGCCUUGCUGUCACUUAUAGAUGGAUCCGGGCUGCAUUAGCUAGUUGGUAAGGUAACGGCUUACCAAGGCAACGAUGCAUAGCCGACCUGAGAGGGUGAUCGGCCACACUGGAACUGAGACACGCUCCAUACUCCUACGGGAGGCAGCAGUAGGGAAUCUUCCGCAAUGGGCGAAAGCCUGACGGAGCAACGCCGCGUGAGUGAUGAAGGUCUUCGGAUCGUAAAACUCUGUUAUUAGGGAAGAACAUAUGUGUAAGUAACUGUGCACAUCUUGACGGUACCUAAUCAGAAAGCCCCGGCUAACUACGUG
rnacentral:rRNA from 1 species